rnacentral:rRNA from 1 species
UACGGGGGGGGCAAGCGUUGUUCGGAAUUACUGGGCGUAAAGGGCUUGUAGGUGGCCAACUAAGUCAGACGUGAAAUCCCUCGGCUUAACCGGGGAACUGCGUCUGAUACUGGAUGGCUUGAGUGUGGGAGAGGGAUGCGGAAUUCCAGGUGUAGCGGUGAAAAUGCGUAGAUAUCUGGAGGAACACCGGUGGCGAAGGCGGCAUCCUGGACCAUUACUGACACUGAAAAGCGAAAGCCAGGGGAGCAAACGGG